rnacentral:rRNA from 1 species
GAUGAACGCUAGCGGCAGGCCUAAUACAUGCAAGUCGAGGGAGAAUGUUGGAUUCGUCUGACAUGAAACCGGCGCACGGGUGCGUAACACGUAUGCAACCUACCUUUAACUGGGGGAUAGCUCAGAGAAAUCUGAAUUAAUCCCCCAUAAGACUACGACAUGGCAUCAUGAUGUAGUUAAAGCUCCGGCGGUUAAGGAUGGGCAUGCGGUACAUUAGCUAGUUGGUGAGGUAAUGGCUCACCAAGGCUACGAUGUAUAGGGGGUCUGAGAGGAUGAUCCCCCACACUGGUACUGAGACACGGACCAGACUCCUACGGGAGGCAGCAGUAGGGAAUAUUGGUCAAUGGACGCAAGUCUGAACCAGCCAUGCCGCGUGAAGGAUGAAGGCCCUAUGGGUCGUAAACUUCUUUUAUUAGGGAAGAAAAAACGGGAUGCGUCCUGUACUGACGGUACUUAAUGAAUAAGGAUCGGCUAACUUCGUGCCAGCAGCCGCCGCAG